GCAGGUAUGACAUCGCAAGCCUGGGUCGGAUUGUACAACGACGUCAACAGCUGGCGCUGGUCCUUCAACAACAUCUCGUUGAUGAGUACGGGUUUUAGCCAGUGGUACCCUUCACAGCCUGAUAAUAAUAACGCCAAUGAACCGUGUGCGACAAUAGAGACAGGUGGAUACUGGCGGGAUUUUCCCUGCACUAACCUGAACCCCUUCAUAUGCUACGAUGGUGAGUCAGUGUGUUUCAUUUCAUUAGCUUUCGGGUUUCAGAAACAUUGACUUAGCAACCUGUGCUACUAAAAGAAUUAAUCAGAUUCUUUAAUCAUGUGUCACAGGAAACUACAGUGGUGCGGAGAGGUUCGUCGGCGUCUCUAAUCUUCGGUUGAGCUGGCUGGAUGCUCAGGCUUACUGUCGACAGUCUCACACAGAUCUGGCCUCUGCGGUCAGCGCAGCCGAUAACAGCGAGUUAGCUAAUGUGGCGUCGCAGCAGGGUUGCUCUUGGUUCGGACUAUACAGGGACACAUGGAAGUGGUCAGAUGGGACAAAAGUGUCAAACAUAACAUGGCUCCCUGCACAGCCUAAUAACUUUUAUCGACCCGAGAACUGUGUCAGGUUUAAUAACGGUCCGUUUAGCGAUGAACCAUGCAGUAACACUUACUAUUUCUUCUGUCACACCGUUAUUCCAGUAAGAAAAAAGCAAGUGAUGAAACUGCAGGUGCUGUCUGAUGACACAGUGUCUGAUCCGGCUUUGCAGUUCACUACUUUAGAUCUGAUAAAACAGAAACUGAAGGAACACGGCCUGCUGUUCAACUCCACAGUGCACUUGAGGGUGCAGCCAGAAGGAAACAUCUUCUACAAGAAAAAUUACCCAGAAUUCUAAAUGCUAGGAUUUAUCUUCUCUACCUGUAGAUACCACGAGUUAUGAGUGAUCUUCUGUACUUGUAGAUACAACGAGUUAUGAGUGAUCUUCUGUACUUGUAGAUACAACGAGUUAUGAGUGAUCUUCUGUACUUGUAGAUACCACGAGUUAUGAGUGAUCUUCUUUACUUGUAGAUACCACGAGUUAUGAGUGAUCUUCUCUACCUGUAGAUACCACGAGUUAUGAGUGAUCUUCUGUACUUGUAGAUACCACGAGUUAUGAGUGAUCUUCUUUACUUGUAGAUACCACGAGUUAUGAGUGAUCUUCUUUACUUGUAGAUACCACGAGUUAUGAGUGAUCUUCUCUACCUGUAGAUAGGAGUUAUGAGUGAUCUUCUGUACCUGUAGAUACAAUGAGUUAAGAUUGAUUUUCUCUACCUGUAGAUACCACGAGUUAAGAGUGAUCUUCUGUACCUGUAGAUACCACGAGUUAAGAGUGAUCUGCUGUACUUGUAGAUACAACGAGUUAUGAGUGAUCUUCUGUACUUGUAGAUACAACGAGUUAUGAGUGAUCUUCUGUACUUGUAGAUACAACGAGUUAUGAGUGAUCUUCUUUACUUGUAGAUACCACGAGUUAUGAGUGAUCUUCUCUACCUGUAGAUACCACGAGUUGUGAGUGAUCUUCUCUACCUGUAGAUACGAGUUAUGAGUGAUCUUCUGUACCUGUAUAUACCACGAGUUAUGAGUGAUCUUCUGUACCUGUAGAUACCACGAGUUAUGAGUGAUCUUCUCUAUCUGUAGAUAUCACGAGUUAAGAUUUAUUUUCUGUACCUGUAGGUACCACGAGUUACGAUUUGUCUUCUGUACCUGUAGAUACCACGAGUUAUGAGUGAUCUUCUGUACCUGUAGAUAUCACGUGUUAUGAGUGAUCUUCUGUACCUGUAGAUACCACGAGUUACGAUUUAUUUUCUGUACCUGUAGGUACCACGAGUUACUGUAACAAUUAAACUUAUCUUAUUAGAAGUCCUAUUGUUACCAAAGAGUUCUUUUAGAGUAAUCUUGUAUGGAACAGCUGACCAACCAUCAAUUCAAUAAAGCA